ensembl:lncRNA SNHG14 small nucleolar RNA host gene 14
GGAUCGAUGAUGACUUAAAGAUUUAUCUAAUUUAAAUCUGAACAAAAUGAGUGACCAAAACACUUCUGUACCACUUCUGUGAGCUGAGGUCCAGCACAGAGACCACUCCAGUCAAACAUGUGUUGCCUGGAGUUGCAACUAGUUGGUCAGUUAGAAGCAACCACAGGGACUGGGGUAUUUGAAAACCACUUGAGUGCAUUUAUUAGAGGAAACGAAUUUUACAUUUGUGUAUAAAAAUUCAAUUGUAGGGUAAAAUGGAAACUCUGAGAGUUUGGUUGGCGGCAUCUAUAUACCAUAGAAACAGAGCCUGGGAAGCAGAACAGUGAGACCCAAGAGAAAUGUUCCUGCCUAUACUUGGUCUGUUCUCACAUUUGCCUGAGCUACUGAUUGAUCUUUUGAGGGUGAUGAGAUGGUCAAAAUCCAAGGAUAUGAUGAGUUUUUACUUCUCAUUUUCUUUUUUUUUUUAUUAUACUUUAAGUUUUGGGGUACAUAUGCAGAACGUGCAGGUUUGUUACAUUGGUAUACACGUGCCAUGGUGGUUUGCUGCACCCAUCAACCCAUCAUCUACAUUAGAUUGGUUUUCACAGAAUUCCAUGGACUUUAACUGCUGAACCAAUGAUGCACUGAUUUUGUCACUUGUACCAGCUAACGCAUCUGGGAGGCAACAAAACAAUACUCUCCUGAGGUUAAUGUGGACCAAAAACUAGAUUUCAUAUAAAAGAGUUUAUUCCUUCUACUUGAGGUGUGACAUGAAGGAAAGUAAUGGAAAUAAUUCUGCCCUCCCAUUCUCAAGGGCCAGGGGGAAUUCAAAUAUUGAACGGAAGUGAUUUUGGAAUUGCAUGGAAUUCUCACUGCCAUCCCAAAGAAAUGCUGAUCUUGUCACUCUUACCUGUUUCAUUCCCUGGGGGCAGAACAAAAGGACGCACUCCAAAGAUCGGCAUGAACCAAGAACUGGGUUUCAUAUAAAAUAUUUUAUUCUGUCCUCUUGAGAUGUGACAUGAGAAAAGUAUUGAGAAUACUUCUAUCACCUCAUCUUCAAGAAUCCGUAGGAAUUCUCCCAUGGUGGACUUUACGGUUAACCUGAACAGGUCUUGGAAAAAGGACUUUAAACAUUCUCCUGUUCUGUGGAAUAAGUAUACUUUUUUCUGGACAUACACCUUGUCAGUGAGUUCCAUGUGAUACUAGAGUUGCAUAGAUUUUUAACCUUUACGCCAAUGAAGAUCUGAGGCAAACAUUGCCCCUUUUUUAGAAGUUUGCAUUUGUCACUGAUAACUGUAAUAAUUGAUCUUGUUGAAAAGCCUGGGAAAUGAAGAUCUGAUAUGUCACUUUUACCGGCUUCCUCAACUGAAAAAGAAUACAAUGAAACACGCUGAGAAUUUUUGUGCUUUCUCAGUCUUGCUGAUGAUCUUUCUAUGGGCCUGAAGCGUGGAGAGUGCCAGAGAGGCUGAUCCUCAGCAGUGUGGCAGAGGAAAGUUGGGUGCGACUAAGGGGUAUGCGGUGCCCACAUGCCACUGGGUCCUCAGCAGUACCACCUGAUUGGAAGUGAUAUUGGUGGAAGACAACAUUUUGCCGCUUGGAAUUCUCACCUCCACACCAAAGAAGUACUGUUUUUGUCAUUUGCACCAGCUUCUUUCUCCAGGAAAGAUCAAAACGAUGCACUGCAAGGUUAACAUCCAAUUUUUAAUACAUGUAAUUCCCUGGAUUAUUUUUGUUGUGUUAUUAAAUAACUUAGAAUUUUUUUUACAAAGUCUGUUGAACCAAACACUGUAAGGCAUUAAUAACCUGGUGAGU